AUGCAGUUUCCCCCACGGGCAGCGGGCAUGCUGUUUUCCCCGCGGGCAGCGACCUCAAAGUCUGCGACAUCGGUGGUUGGGGGGGUGCACCCCUCCUCGUCAUUCUCCAUUGCAAGCCCUCCACUCUUUCCUGUGCGGUGCAGACCAACAGCCGUCCAGCAGGAAGAAGGCAUGGUGUCACCGACAGCAGCGCACCAUGUAGCACCACUGCAUUCCGUCACCGGCCGCCGCGAGGGCGCCUCUGCUGGUCACUCUUGCGACCACUUCUAG
rnacentral:rRNA from 1 species